rnacentral:lncRNA from 11 species
GCUGGGUUUGUCAGUUGGGAACCUGAGCUUGCAGGGAGAGCACAGAAAAGACAGGCUCUCUAGCUACGGUCCAGUGGCAGUUUAACUAUGCUAUGCUGGAUAUAUUGAAUGCUGAUUGAUUAGUUAUUGAUCCUAUGCAACUACAAGGACAUUGUACGAUUGCUGAACUGUUUACUUAACUUCAACUCAACAAGUAAAGUUCCUUUGUUCUUUCAAUUCCUCUGCCUGGUCUGAGUCUUUUGCACAUGGUGUUAACUGGACGCUGCUGGUUCCGCUAUACACACUCUCCCUAACAACGCCCACCCUCAGCUGCCCCUGCAUUCUCCUCCAAACUAGAAUCAGACAACACCCCACGCUCAGCUGCCAGUUGUGCUGCCUGAGCUGCUCUUUGCCUUGCCUGCCAAGCGGCCCUUCUCUUGCUUCUACUUACAUCCUCCCAAACAGCAGACAAAUCAUCUUAGAGGGAAGUUUCAUUCCCAACAGAUCUUCUGAAUGAUCUUGUUCCCAAGUAG